rnacentral:rRNA from 1 species
GAUGAACGCUGGCGGCGUGCCUAAUACAUGCAAGUCGAGCGAACAGACGAGGAGCUUGCUCCUCUGACGUUAGCGGCGGACGGGUGAGUAACACGUGGAUAACCUACCUAUAAGACUGGGAUAACUUCGGGAAACCGGAGCUAAUACCGGAUAAUAUAUUGAACCGCAUGGUUCAAUAGUGAAAGACGGUUUUGCUGUCACUUAUAGAUGGAUCCGCGCCGCAUUAGCUAGUUGGUAAGGUAACGGCUUACCAAGGCAACGAUGCGUAGCCGACCUGAGAGGGAGAUCGGCCACACUGGAACUGAGACACGGUCCAGACUCCGACGGGAGGCAGCAGUAGGGAAUCUUCCGCAAUGGGCGAAAGCUUGACGGAGCAACGCCGCGUGAGUGAUGAAGGUCUUCGGAUCGUAAAACUCUGUUAUUAGGGAAGAACAAAUGUGUAAGUAACUAUGCACGUCUUGACGGUACCUAAUCAGAAAGCCACGGCUAACUACGUG